rnacentral:misc_RNA from 1 species
CAGAGUUACAAAACUCCCUAAACCAUUGUGAACGUUACCUGUACGUCGUUGCUUCGGCGGGUCGCCCCACCGGGCGCCCGUGCCUCCAUCGCGAGGCUGCCCGCCGGAGGUACACCUAAACUCUUGAUAAUUUAGUGGCCUCUCUGAGUCUUCUUACUAAAUAAGUCA